CAGUAGCCGCGGUAAUACGUAGGGUGCGAGCGUUAAUCGGAAUUACUGGGCGUAAAUCGUGCGCAGGCGGUUUUGUAAGACAGAGGUGAAAUCCCCGGGCUCAACCUGGGAACUGCCUUUGUGACUGCAAGGCUAGAGUACGGCAGAGGGGGAUGGAAUUCCGCGUGUAGCAGUGAAAUGCGUAGAUAUGCGGAGGAACACCGAUGGCGAAGGCAAUCCCCUGGGCCUGUACUGACGCUCAUGCACGAAAGCGUGGGGAGCAAACAGGAUUAGAUACCCCGGUAGUCCCUGUCUCUUAUAC
rnacentral:rRNA from 1 species